rnacentral:misc_RNA from 1 species
AUAUAGACCAAUCACUUAGUGGCAACUACACGUGUCUAGCUAAGAAUCUGUAUGGAUCGGACUCCGUAGAGUACACUGUGAUUGUCCUUCCUCUACCUGAAGCACCAAUUCUAAGAGCGACACCAUAUAAGGACUCAAUAUUAGUAGAGUGGGAACAACCGUAUUAUUCUAGCAAUAGAAGUCAAACUGGUCAAAAAAUAACUUACAGCCUCACAUGGAAGGAAGCGAGCGGGCCGUGGCAAGAGGCCUGGUCACCCAAUAAGUUGUCCAAUUUGUCGGGAGUUCAGAAACAUGCUCUUACUGGCCUCAAAUGUGGAACAAAAUAUUCGCUGAGGAUCACAGCAACCAAUAAAGUUGGGACCUCACAGCCUGCUUAUAUUGAUGUUAGCACUUUGGGAGGAC